CGUUAUCUGACUGUUGAUGGCAAAUCAUUUUGAGAGAAUACUUUCUUCUGAACCCCCUCAGGUGAGUCACCGCCUCCCAGCAGCUGGAGCAGUUCGUCUUCUUACACAACUUCACUAUAAUCGGGACUUCUGGAAAGAUUCAACUUAGAAGCUAGUACUUCCAGCAUGAGAUGAGAGUAAUGGGAACACGGAAAGGCCAGCUGUUACAAUCAAGACAUGAUACAAAAAGAUGCUGCAGAUUUCUCCAUUCAUUUACAUCGGAAGACAAGACCUAUUGCCCAAGCAUGGCAGCUGCAAAGGGGUACUCUUAUACACAAGCUGUGGAUGCUCAGUUUUUGGCCGUAUAUCUACUUGGAAAUGUCCCAUACUGCUUGAUAAGACCCAGAUGGCAACCAGAUGGCUUCAUGUAACUCUUUGGAAGUGCUGCUGAAGACUGGGAGUAAGAAAUUGAAGUAAGUCUACAAACAACUCCCUCUCUUUCUCAUGACUUCUAUUAAUAAAGAGUGAAGAUUACCUUACUGUAUUCCA
rnacentral:lncRNA from 1 species